UACGUAGGGGGCUAGCGUUGUCCGGAAUCAUUGGGCGUAAAGAGCGCGUAGGCGGCUGGAAUAGUCCGGUGUGAAAUCCACAGGCUUAACCUGUGAAUGCCGCUGGAAACUGUCUGGCUAGAGUCCGGAAGGGGCGAGUGGAAUUCCUGGUGUAGCGGUGAAAUGCGCAGAUAUCAGGAGGAACACCAAUGGCGAAGGCAGCUCGCUGGGACGGUACUGACGCUGAGGCGCGAAAGCCAGGGGAGCAAACGGG
rnacentral:rRNA from 1 species